rnacentral:rRNA from 1 species
UACGUAGGGUGCAAGCGUUAAUCGGAAUUACUGGGCGUAAAGCGUGCGCAGGCGGUUUUUGUAAGUUUGUCGUGAAAUCCCCGGGCUCAACCUGGGAAUGGCGAUGAAGACUGCAAGGCUAGAAUCUGGCAGAGGGGGGUAGAAUUCCACGUGUAGCAGUGAAAUGCGUAGAGAUGUGGAGGAACACCGAUGGCGAAGGCAGCCCCCUGGGUCAAGACUGACGCUCAUGCACGAAAGGCGUGGGGAGCA